rnacentral:rRNA from 1 species
UUGGAGGGCAAGUCUGGUGCCAGCGGCCGCGGUAAUUCCAGCUCCAAUAGCGUAUAUUAAAGUUGUUGCAGUUAAAAAGCUCGUAGUUGAAUUUCGAGACCGGUUUACUGGUCGUGCUUUUGUACGUACUGGUAUUAUUGGUUUCUCCUUUCUGACGAAUCAUAAUGCCAUUAAUUUGGUGUUUUGGGGAAUCAGGACUGUUACUUUGAAAAAAUUAGAGUGUUUAAAGCAGGCUCACGCUUGAAUACAUUAGCAUGGAAUAACGAAAUAGGACGUUUGAUUUUAUUUUGUUGGUUUCUAGGAUCGACGUAAUGAUUAAUAGGGAUAGUUGGGGGCAUUAGUAUUCAAUUGUCAGAGGUGAAAUUCUUGGAUUUAUUGAAGACUAACUACUGCGAAAGCAUUUGCCAAGGAUGUUUUCAUUAAUCAAGAACGAAAGUUAGGGGAUCGAAGACGAUCAGAUACCGUCGUAGUCUUAACCAUAAACUAUGCCGACUAGGGAUCGGAUGAUGUUAAUUUUUUAAUGACUCAUUCGGCGCCUUACGGGAAAC